rnacentral:rRNA from 1 species
GGGGAAUAUUGCACAAUGGGCGAAAGCCUGAUGCAGCAACGCCGCGUGAGUGAUGAAUGCCUUCGGAUUGUAAAGCUCUGUCUUUGGGGACGAUAAUGACGGUACCCAAGGAGGAAGCCACGGCUAACUACGUGCCAGCAGCCGCGGUAAUACGUAGGUGGCGAGCGUUGUCCGGAUUUACUGGGCGUAAAGGAUGCGUAGGCGGAUGUUUAAGUGAGAUGUGAAAUCCCCGAGCUUAACUUGGGAGCUGCAUUUCAAACUGGAUAUCUAGAGUGCAGAAGAGGAGAGCGGAAUUCCACGUGUAGCGGUGAAAUGCGUAGAGAUGUGGAGGAACACCAGUGGCGAAGGCGGCUCUCUGGACUGUAACUGACGCUGAGGCGCGAAAGCGUGGGGAGCAAAC